UACGUAGGAUGCAAGCGUUGUCCGGAAUUAUUGGGCGUAAAGAGCGAGCAGGCGGUUACUCAAGUCAGAUGUAAAAUCUCCCGGCUUAACCGGGAGGGGCCAUUUGAAACUGGGUAACUAGAGUGAAGCAGAGGAUAGCGGAAUUCCCGGUGUAGUGGUGAAAUGCGUAGAUAUCGGGAGGAACACCAGUGGCGAAGGCGGCUAUCUGGGCUUUAACUGACGCUGAGGCGCGAAGGCUAGGGGAGCAAACAGG
rnacentral:rRNA from 1 species